rnacentral:rRNA from 1 species
GACGAACGCUGGCGGCGUGCCUAAUACAUGCAAGUCGAGCGGAUCGAUGGAAGCUUGCUUCCUGAGAUCAGCGGCGGACGGGUGAGUAACACGUGGGCAACCUGCCCCUAAGAUCGGGAUAACUUCGGGAAACCGGAGCUAAUACCGGAUAGGACUUUUCUUCACAUGAAGGGAAGUGGAAAGGCGGUUUCGGCUGUCACUUAGGGAUGGGCCCGCGGCGCAUUAGCUAGUUGGUGAGGUAACGGCUCACCAAGGCCACGAUGCGUAGCCGGCCUGAGAGGGUGAUCGGCCACACUGGGACUGAGACACGGCCCAGACUCCUACGGGAGGCAGCAGUAGGGAAUCUUCCGCAAUGGACGAAAGUCUGACGGAGCAACGCCGCGUGAGUGAAGAAGGUUUUCGGAUCAUAAAACUCUGUUGUCAGGGAAGGACAAGUACCAUAGUAACUGGUGGUACCUUGACGGUACCUGACCAGAAAACCACGGCUAACUACGUACCAGCCGCCGCAGUAAUAC